UACGUAGGGUGCUAGCGUUGUCCGGAUUUAUUGGGCGUAAAGAGCUCGUAGGUGGCCUGUCGCGUCGGCUGUGAAAACUCGAGGCUCAACCUCGAGACGCCGGUGGAAACCAUCAGACUAGAGUCCGGAAGAGGAGAGUGGAAUUCCUGGUGUAGCGGUGAAAUGCGCAGAUAUCAGGAAGAACACCCGUGGCUAAGGCGGCUCUCUAGUACGGUACUGACGCUGAGACGCGAAAGCGUGGGGAGCGAACAGG
rnacentral:rRNA from 1 species